rfam:Aspergillus oryzae strain BCC7051 OAory_C03, whole genome shotgun sequence.
CGAUGAUGAGAUUAUAUAGCUGGCACCAGUCAGAGAAAAGAUGGAUUUCGAUUUGUCUUUUGUGUUGAUUAGCUCCGGUCUGGGAACGCUACCCAUGAUCACUGAG